rnacentral:tRNA from 1 species
GGGUGAGGUCCAGGCCUUUGCUUUCACACGGCAAGGGUCACAGGUUCAAUCCCUGUACCGCCCA